rnacentral:rRNA from 1 species
CCACCCUUGUAGUGUUGAUGUUCUAACGUCGACCCCUUAUCGGGGUUGCGGACAGUGCCUGGUGGGUAGUUUGACUGGGGCGGUCUCCUCCCAAAGAGUAACGGAGGAGCACGAAGGUGGGCUAAUCACGGUUGGACAUCGUGAGGUUAGUGCAAUGGCAUAAGCCCGCUUGACUGCGAGAAUGACAAUUCGAGCAGGUGCGAAAGCAGGUCAUAGUGAUCCGGUGGUUCUGAAUGGAAGGGCCAUCGCUCAACGGAUAAAAGGUACUCCGGGGAUAACAGGCUGAUACCGCCCAAGAGUUCAUAUCGACGGCGGUGUUUGGCACCUCGAUGUCGGCUCAUCACAUCCUGGGGCUGAAGUCGGUCCCAAGGGUAUGGCUGUUCGCCAUUUAAAGUGGUACGCGAGCUGGGUUUAGAACGUCGUGAGACAGUUCGGUCCCUAUCUGCCGUGGGCGUUGGAAGAUUGAAGGGGGCUGCUCCUAGUACGAGAGGACCGGAGUGGACGAACCUCUGGUGUUCGGGUUGUGUCGCCAGACGCAUUGCCCGGUAGCUAAGUUCGGAAUCGAUAACCGCUGAAAGCAUCUAAGCGGGAAGCGAGCCCUGAGAUGAGUCUUCCCUGAUACUUUAAGUAUCCUAAAGGGUUGUCGGAGACUACGACGUUGAUAGGUCAGGUGUGUAAGUGCUGUGAGGCAUUGAGCUAACUGAUACUAAUUGCCCGUGAGGCUUAACCAUACAACAC